AUCGGUAAACAACAUAUAAAUAGAAAAUGAUCAUCUCAGUAUUCUGGUUUAUAUCAGGGACUCGUUUCUAAACACAUAUUUUCGUUACUUGACAAGUACAAAUGUAGGAUAUAAUAAAUUGAAUAAUGGAAAUAUUGACUUACAACCCUGACGAUUCCUCUUUGAUUGCUCAGCAACAACAAAGCAAAGAACAUCGUCAAACAGUCAGGACGCUCAAGGUUUUAGGUGCUGUACAAAUUGGGUUAGGAUUAGUGUUGGCAAUAUUAACAAUCGUUCCAGCAAAAUUAAUCCUCAUGCCAGUAUUUGGGUGCUGCUUUUUGUAUGUCAUUACUGGAUCCCUGCCAUUGUUCAUAACAAACAAUCUAGAUUCGAACUUCAGAUGUAAGAAAAUUAGCUUUAUGGUGUGCAGUAUUAUAGGAGCAGUAAUUUUUUCUCCAGUUAUAAUAUUCACUUCGAUUCUGAAAAUAAUAUUAACUGGAUCCGAAUUUGAUCGCGGCAAUAAAAAAUUUUAUGCAGUAUCAAUUCCAAUGGGCUUAUUAUCUAUAGCUGUAUUAGUAGUCACGAUCAAUGCAGCAUCCUACUGUUGCUGUUGUUCACCUUUCGACAUACAAAAUCACCAGCAAACUGUUGUAUUUGUGAAUGCAUCACAGCCUGCAAACAUUGCAUCUACAAUAGAUAACCCUUCCGCUGGUGCAAACGAACAACCAUUGAUGACCACCGUACAUGGAAUAUGAAUAAUAUCAUUUUUUUCAAUUUAUAGCAUAAACAUCGAAUACACAACAACAAAAAUUCUGAAAGUUACCAGGUUAGUAUUACACGUACCAUGGCCACUCAAAAUCCUUAUCGACAUAGAACAAGACAGUGAAUACAACAAAAAUAAAACAUCCGUAAUAAUCCUUCGCACAAAUAUCUAAAACGGUCAACAGGAUCAUGAUUAAAUUCUUAAACAUUUUAAAUCUUUGGGGGUUUAAUAUUGACUAAUUAGCAAUAAUGUCUCUUUCAAGCCUAGUUGUGAGCUGUGAUGAUACAUUAUAUGCCUCCUAGGGAACAAUUUCUAUAAUAUCGUAUCAACUUGGAUGUAUGUUACAUUUCCUGCCGUACGUAAGUUCAAAUAAUCCCCUGUACUGCAAAGUUAAAUUCUCAGCCUACCCUCACUAUUUACGUCUCAUCAGAAAAGAGAGAAAAUGAUAGAUCUCUGAUAUUGUUUAUUUCAGUUACAAUCAUAUACUUGUAGUUCAAUCAAAUUGGUAAACUUUGUGGGAUGACUAUGCUAUGAUCAUUACAAAAAUCUAUCAGCAUAUUUUAUUACAACAAUGCUUAUGAAUGAUUAUUUAGAAAAAAAUAUUAAAUUAUUAAAAAAUGAAGGGGCAAAAAACAUGGAUUAUCUGGUUUCCGGACAAUAGGUUGAGUAUAAAUGUAUGGAUAUCAAAGCAAAUGUAUGAUAAGUCUCGGAAGGUUAAGAAUGAUUAUUUUGGUUCUAGCCCUAACCAUUAAGGAAUUACGGGCCAAAGAUGGGUCCUAAAACUAUGCUUUUCUAACACUUUUAUAAAUGCUUAUUUUUUUACCAAUUUCAAUGAGGUUUAAUUCAAAGUCUUGAAUUCUUAGGGUUCUUUAAUAUGCUGAAUCUAACCAUGUAUUGAGCUUGUAGAUUUUGAGCCUUGUUUUGAAUUGAAGUCCAAAGAAUCCAAAAUGAAACUUUGUUUGAUUUCAUAUCAAUAAAAUUGAGAAUGGAGAUGGUGAAUAUGUCAAAGAGACAACAACCCGACCAAAGAGCAGACAACAGCCGAAGGCCACCAAUGGGUCUUCAAUGCAGCGAGAAAAUACAUUGAAGUAUCAGUGGUCUUUGGUAUGCCGAUUUUAACCGUUUAUUCAAACUUUAAUUUCAGGCCGGGUUUCCAUAUUGGUCCACAUUAAGGUACAAAUGGUCCAAUCUUAAACAAAGUUUUAUUUUAAAAAAUAUGAAUUCGUGGGGUUUUUUGGUAAGCUGAAUACAGUGAAGUAUGAAGAUAUUUGGUUUUGGGCCAAGUUUCAAGUUGGUCCAUGAUCGGGGUCAAAAAUGGUAUUUUGUUUCAUUUCAACGACAAAAUGAAUAUAUAGAAUUUGAUAAGUUGAAUAUAAACGUGUAUUUAGAAUUAGGAUUUUAGGGCCCCAUUUUCAAAUUUGUCCACAUUGAAGUCCAAAAGGUCCAAAAUUUGACUUUGUUUGAAUUCAUCAAACAUUAAACUAUCGGGUUUUUUUUUCAUUUCAUAUGCUGAAUCUCACCAUGAAUUUAGAUUUAAGAUAUUGUACAACAAAGGUAACUGUCAAAUUUCAAUUUUUUAAAGUUCUUAGACCACAUUCAUCUGUGUCAGAAACCUAUGAUGUGUCAAACAUUUAAUCACAAUCGAAAUGUAGAGCUGUCUUAAGCUUGAAUGAUGUGUCCAUACUUGUCCCAACUGUUCAAGAUUCGAUCUAUGCGAUCGUAUUAAGCAGCGCCCUGUGGAGCGUUUUACCUGUGAAGCAUUUUACUGGUUUGCUGUCUUCUUUGACAUAAUAUGUUUUUCCUUCUCCUCAAGUUUGACAUACUCGUGUUGUUAUUAGGUAAUUUUUAAGUAUUUCUGAACUUUUAUUUAUAUAAUUGUACAUGUUUUCACCUGCUAGAACAACAACUGAAAUAUAUUCAUUUAGUUUUUUUAGUAUGAAAUUGUUACUCUAACGUUUUAAAAAGUAAAAGAAUUUGUUUACAUUUAACUCUGAAGUUUUUGAACUUAAUACGGGGGAAAGAAUACAUAUCUAUAAAUUAAGGCAACAGUAGAUUAAAGAUGAGUAUAAGGGAAAUAUUCUAAAUAGACUAAAACAACAAAUCUAGGAAAAUGGUUUUAAUCAUGUAAAUGUAUAUCAGGCAUAAAGAAAUUUUCUCGUUUCAAUUCCAUUAUAUAUGUCAUGCCGUGAUAUUUUAUAGCCUCAUAUGCGGAUGGUUUUUUUUUUCAUUGUUAAAAGCAGCACGGACACUUAUUGUUACUAACUUCUACGUCAUUUGAUCUGUUAUGAUAAAUAGUGCCAUUUGCAAUCAUACCAGAUAUUCUCAUGUUUAUAUUAAAAACUGAGAGAUCCGUAUGAAAGAGGGACGAAAGAUACCAGAGGGACAGUCAAACUCAUAGAUCGAAAACAAACUGACAACGUCAUGGCCAAAAAUAAAAAGACAAACAGACAAAUAAUAGUACAGAUGACACAACAUAGAAAACUAAAGACUAAGCAACACGAACCCCACCAAAAACUGGGGGUGAUCUCAGGUGCUCCGGAAGGGUGAGCAGAUCCUGCACCACAUGUGGCACCCGUCGAGUUGCUUAUGUUAUUACAAAUCCGGUAAAUAGUCUAAUUCGGUAAGUCACAUUCGUGAAAAGGGAAGGGUAUUGUAGUUACGACAUAAGGAACAUAUCCGAUAUCAUCUGUGAAACGGUAAUUCCAUAACGGUCAACCAACUCGUGAUGGCGUCCGUAAAAUUUACGAAGGGAUGACUGCAACUUCACCAUUUGGAACUCUUGGUUUAAUAGCUUCCUUGUGAGCAGCAAUCCUCUAUCAAGGAAAUCAUGAUAGGAAACACAAGCCCGGGAAUAUCGUAUCAAUUGGGAGAUAUAUACUCCGUAUGCAGGCGCUGCUGGAAUGUUGCUACAUAGAAAUGGAAAGUUCACAAUUGGGAAGCUAAAAUCAUCUCUUUUGUCGUAAAGUUUUGUUUUCAACCGACCCUCAUUGUCAAUUUCUAGAUGUAAGUCAAGAUAUGAGGCAGACUUAACUGUAUCUGUAGUAUCCUUUAUCUCUAGUUCGAUGGGAUAGAUUCGUUCAACAUAGUCACCAAAUUUUGUAUUAUUUAGUGAGAGAACAUCAUCUAUAUAGCGGAACGUAGAGUUAAAGGAUAUUGCUAACUUCUUAUCUCUCUUCCUAAGAAGCUCCUGUAUGAAGUCAGCCUCAAAAUAAUAAAGAAACAAGUCGGCAAGAAGAAGGGCACAAUUGGUUCCCAUUGGAAUUCCGACAGUCUGUUGAAAAACACGUCCUCCAAACGUAACAAAUAUGUUGUCAAUCAAGAAAUCAAGCAUCUUGAUAAUGUCAGUUUCAGAGAAUUUUUUGUUUGAAUCAGAGUGAUUCUUUACAAAGUAGGAUUUAUCCCUCCCCAAGACAAGAUACUUGUAUCUACGUUCGUCAUUCUUUUUAAUGAAACAAAGUAAUACCAACUCUUUCAAUUUGUCUUUUAGUUUGGAAUGGGGAAUACUUGUGUAAAGUGUAGAAAAGUCAAAUGUUUUAAUACUAUUGCAAGAUAAGAGAGUCUUAGAUUGUAUGUACUCUAAAAGAUCUUUGGAAUUUUUUAGUAUCCACAUCUGAUUCACGCCACCUCUAGAAUAGGCAGUUUCACAAUAACUUUGGAGCCCGGCUUUGAUUGCUGAUAAAAUAGAUGUUAAUAAUUUAGAAAGAGGUUUCGUGGAGCACUUGGAAGACUGAAACUGUCGUAUGCCAAUUCAGGUAAAUUUGUAAAGCGUCAACAACAACUUCUACUUUAUCCAAUUUGUCCCACAUUGGCAUAGUGCUGAAUUCUCACUUAGAUAAAUUAUCAAAAUCAUUUUUAUGAAGUUAGGGCUCUUGUUUGAUAUAAGGUUUCAAUUAGAAAAGCAAUCCAACACAAAGAGGGUUAAAUAAUGGCGUCGUCGUAAUUUAUCAUAAUGGAUGUUAGUCUGUCUUAAUAACACCUACUUGUAACCUCUUGUGAAGUCAAGGAAAUAACUGUUAUACAUUGUCGGCAUAAAAUAAUGACCUGUGUGAGGUCAUUAUUUUCCUUGAUAAGAAUGCAAACUAUAACUUACUUCAAAAUUAUAUUCGUCUGAUAGUUUCUGUUGCAGAUUUUGGAAUUUAUUUUUUAAAGUUCAAUCUAUGAUAGGUGUAAAAAAAAUCGUCAUUGCCCGAUUUUAAUUUUAGAAACAAAUAAUGUGAAAUUUUGUUAAUCUAUCGCUACAAUACAGAGACAUUGUCAUAUAUGCGAGAUGAAUUUUAAUGUAAAACUUUCAUAACACUUUAAAAUAAAGCCAGAUUUAACAUAUUCGUGUGUAAAAUUUUGAAAAUCUAAUUGAUUCACACUGAAUAGGUUGAUUGAUUGAUGGUUACUUAACGUCCAGUGGCAAAUAUUUUAUGCAUGUUCAGGACGAUACACACUGAAUAGGAAAUCAUACUGUGACCUACAUGUACUGAUAUUCGUUUUCGUGUAACAUGUACAUGUAUCACGAUUUCGUGCCCCCUUCGUGUCAGUUCUUAACUUUUUUACAUUUAUGUAUAACUUUUACUCUAUCAAAGGAUUAACUAAUAAAAUAUUCACGUACUUCACAAUGAGGUCGGGUGGGGGAGGGUAUAUAAUUAUAUCCUGAUUAUCUGUUAAAAAAAUGUAUUGCUAUUCAAAAGAAAAUCAUUCUGAAUAAUUCAUUCGAUUCAAUUAAAAUUGUUGAAAAAAUAAUCACUUUUCCGCGAUAAAAUGUCAUUACAAAUAGACAAAAAAAAAAAAAAAAAAAACAUAGCACCUCCCCC